rnacentral:rRNA from 1 species
AUUAAAGUUGCUGCUGUUAAAAAGCUCGUAGUUGGAUUUCUGAUGUAAUGUAUUUGUCCCGCUGUGGUUACACAUGUGAGUGACGAAUUACAUUCAUCUGUCUUGUGUUUUUAUUAGUAGAUUGUGAAAGCAAUUUAUUAAUGAUACACAUCUUUUACUUUGAACAAAUUAGAGUGUUUCAAGCAGGCGUCAAGCCCUGAAUACAUGAGCAUGGAAUAAUCAUCGAGGACUUUUAGUUCUUUGUUGGUUGGUUCUAGAACUAUAGUAAUGAUGGAUAGGGAUAGUUGGGGGUGCUAGUAUUCCAAGGCCAGAGGUGAAAUUCUUGGAUUCUUGGAAGACUCACUUAGGCGAAAGCAUUCACCAAGGAUGUCUUCAUUAAUCAAGAACGAAAGUUGGGGGAUCGAAGACGAUCAGAUACCGUCGUAGUCUCAACCAUAAACUAUGCCGACUAGGGAUGAGAUAAUGUUGAAUUUUCGACUUGUUUCGCACCUCAUGAGAAAUCAAAGUCUUUGGGUUCAUGGGGAAGUAUGGUCGCAAGGCUGAAACUUAAAGGAAUUGACGGAAGGGCACCACCAGGAGUGGAGCCUGCGGCUUAAUUUGACACAACACGGGAAAACUUACCAGGUCCGGACAUAGUGAGGAUUGACAGGUUGAAGACCUUUCUUAAUUCUGUGGGUGGUGGUGCAUGGCCGUUCUUAGUUGGUGGAGUGAUUUGUCUGGUUAAUUCCGUUAACGAACGAGACCUCGACCUGCUAAAUAGUUUGUUAAAUGAUUCGUUAUUUACACAAACUUCUUAGAGGAACUGCUGCCGUUCUAGGCAGAGGAAGUACGAGGCAAUAACAGGUCUGUGAUGCCCUUAGAUGUUCUGGGCCGCACGCGCGCUACACUGAUAGAUUCAUCGAGUAUUUUCAUCCUUAACUGUUAAGUUUGGGUAAUCUUUGAAUGUCUAUCGUGCUGGGGAUAGAUGAUUGUAAUUUUUCAUCUUCAACGAGGAAUUCCUAGUAAACGCAAGUCAUCAACUUGCAUUGAUUACGUCCCUGCCCUUUGUACACACCGCCCGUCGCUACUACCGAUUGAAUGGAUUAGUGAGCUUCAAGGAUUGAUGUAUGUUUGGUUCUCCAAAUAUAUGUUAAGAAUUGAAUCAAACUUGCUCAUUUAGAGGAAGUAAAAGUCGUAACAAGGUCUCCGUAGGUGAACCUGCGGAGG